UGGAACGGCCAAAACCCCACAACAGGGUC
rnacentral:piRNA from 1 species